GAUGAACGCUGGCGGUGUGCCUAAUACAUGCAAGUCGAGCGAACAGACGAGGAGCUUACUCCUCUGACGUUAGCGGCGGACGGGUGAGUAACACGUGGAUAACCUACCUAUAAGACUGGGAUAACUUCGGGAAACCGGAGCUAAUACCGGAUAACAUGUUGAACCGCAUGGUUCAACAGUGAAAGACGGUCUUGCUGUCACUUAUAGAUGGAUCCGCGUCGCAUUAGCUAGUUGGUAAGGUAACGGCUUACCAAGGCAACGAUGCGUAGCCGACCUGAGAGGGUGAUCGGCCACACUGGAACUGAGACACGGUCCAGACUCCUACGGGAGGCAGCAGUAGGGAAUCUUCCGCAAUGGGCGAAGGCCUGACGGAGCAACGCCGCGUGAGUGAAGAAGGUCUUCGGAUCGUAAAACUCUGUUAUUAGGGGAGAACAAAUGUGUAAGUAACUAUGCACGUCUUGACGGUACCUAAUCAGAAAGCCACGGCUAACUACGUG
rnacentral:rRNA from 1 species